GGACACGCUUUGAUGUGUUUAUGCUGCUGGACGUCCGUGGGAGCAUCGUCCUGCAGCUCCCUGCUCGUGGGGCAGGGCUGUGGCUGCAUCCAGGCCUUGGCAGAACCCGUGUGCCACAGGGGCACGGCUUGGCAAAGGACACCACCACCCUCUGCGCUCCAAAGUCCAGGUGACAGCACCAGCCCAGCCCAGCUGUGCCAGCAGCAAAGGCUCAGAAUCCUGCCAGCAGCAAAGGCUCAGAAUCCUGCCAGGAGUGGGGAGCUGCUGGUGGCAUGUGGGUGCCAGCAGGCAGCAUCACCUUGUCCCCAUGUGCUGGCACAGGGGGUCAGUCCCGUCCAUCCUGUGACUCCAGGAGUCUCUGGAGGAGGUGUCUGGGAGAAGGAAACUUGAGGAGGUUCCCCACGAGGAUCUUGCAGCAGAUCCCUCUGUACCAGGGGAAGGAUGGAACCAGAUUAAAGCCGCACACAUCCCGCAGCAGCACCUGGCUGGAGGGGCCAUCCUCGUGUUGGGACUUUCAUGGGAAACCACAGAGCACCCUUUUAGCUCCCUCUCAGCAGAGCCUUUCC
rnacentral:lncRNA from 12 species